UAACACGUACGAGGAGGCAGCUGCAUACAUUCAGUGUCAGUUUGAAGAUCUGAACCGAAGAAAAGACACCAAGGAAAUUUAUACCCAUUUCACCUGUGCCACUGAUACCAAGAAUGUGCAGUUUGUUUUUGAUGCUGUUACAGAUGUUAUAAUUAAAAACAACCUGAAGGAAUGUGGACUCUACUAAAAGGAGAGGACGACACUGAAAGAUUUCCGAGAUGUGGUGUUUUAAGAACUGGACUGUUUAUUUGCUGCCUCAUGGGACAGCUGCAAGCAUGAACAGGACCGGGGAAUGAAAACAGCAUGCAAAUCCUUGCAUUCUUUAGCACAAUCUUCUGUACUAGGGACCUUUUUAUUGAUAUGGGAUGCUGAAGUUAGACUUAAAAAAGGAACUACUGUUUUGAUUUUUUGACCACCCAAGCGUCACUUGGAUUGCAUAAUCUCAAAUGUGUACAGCUGUUACGAAGUUCAUGUCCCAGAACUUCAAUAUGUAGCUUGCUUUCUUUUAAUAACCCACCAGUAGUCUGUUUUUAAGGUUUUUCAUCAAAAUUAUAUUUUGACUAAAUUGUAUUUCUUUGCAAAUGACAUUUUGUUGUUUUUAAAAUCACUUAACUAUGCACAUGGUAUGACCAGCUCAUGCAGAAAGUAUUCCUCUUAGAAGGAGCCUUUUGUUUUUAACACUUAGUGUGGUCAGAACUUGAUAUUACUGCAACUACUUAAAAGAGCCUUAGGAUCCAUAUGGCUAAUGCUAUGGCUUCUUCUGAUGUAUAAUUUGUUACCAUUCUGCUUCAUGUGCUGUAACGCUUUUUUCCUCAAAAAAGAGAUUCUCUGCAGCAGGGUAACAGGUUUUUCUGGCUUAUGAGAUGGGAAGGUUAGCCUGGUUUAUGCCAAUUACCAGACCACUGAGUGUCCUACUGUUGUAGCAGGCAGAACUCUGUUCCUCCUGUGAAAUGCCUGAAGUGGCUUCCAGUUAGACAAGAAAACUGUAAAAU